CUAGCUGUAAACGAUGUAGACUUGGCGUUGGUGGGGUUAAAUCCAUCAGUGCCGAAGCUAACGCGAUAAGUCUACCGCCUGGGGACUACGGCCGCAAGGUUAAAACUCAAAGGAAUUGACGGGGCCCCGCACAAGCAGCGGAGCGUGUGGUUUAAUUCGAUGAUACACGAAGAACCUUACCAGGGUUUGACAUGCUGGUGGUAGGGAGCCGAAAGGUGACCGACCCCUCGGGGAGCCAGCACAGGUGC
rnacentral:rRNA from 1 species